AUACGGAGGGUCCAAGCGUUAUCCGGAUUCAUUGGGUUUAAAGGGUUCGUAGGCGGAUAAAUAAGUCAGUGGUGAAAUCCCGAAGCUCAACUUCGGAACUGCCAUUGAAACUGUUUAUCUUGAAUUUAGUCGAAGUGGGCGGAAUAUGACAUGUAGCGGUGAAAUGCAUAGAUAUGUCAUGGAACACCAAUAGUGAAGACAGCUCACUAAGCUAAUAUUGACGCUGAUGAACGAAAGCAUGGGUAGCGAACAGGAUUAGAAACCCGGGUAGUCC
rnacentral:rRNA from 1 species